rnacentral:rRNA from 1 species
GUCCAGACUCCUACGGGAGGCAGCAGUGGGGAAUAUUGCACAAUGGGCGAAAGCCUGAUGCAGCAACGCCGCGUGAAGGAAGAAGGGUUUCGGCUCGUAAACUUCUAUCAACAGGGACGAAAGAAAUGACGGUACCCCGUAAGAAAGCCCCGGCUAACUACGUGCCAGCAGCCGCGGUAAUACGUAGGGGGCAAGCGUUGUCCGGAAUGACUGGGCGUAAAGGGAGUGUAGGCGGCUCAUCAAGUUAGAUGUGAAAUCCCGCGGCUUAACCGCGGAACUGCAUCUAAAACUGGUGAGCUGGAGUGCAGGAGAGGUGAGUGGAAUUCCUAGUGUAGCGGUGGAAUGCGUAGAUAUUAGGAGGAACACCAGAGGCGAAGGCGACUCACUGGACUGUAACUGACGCUGAGGCUCGAAAGCGUGGGGAGCAAACAGGAUUAGAUACCCGAGUA